CCCAUUAUAUCCCAUUACAUCUCACUACAUCCCAUUACAUCCCAUUAUAUCCCAUUGUAUCCCAUUAUAUCCCAUUACAUCCCAUUGUAUCCCAUUAUAUCCCAUUACAUCCCAUUAUACCCCAUUAAAUCCCACUUACGUCCGAUUAUAUCCCAUUACAUCCCAUUACAUCCCAUUACAUCCCAUUAUAUCCCAUUACACUCCAUUAUAUCCCAUUACAUCCCAUUACAUCCCACUUACAUCCGAUUAUAUCACAUUAAAUCCCAUUAUAUCCCACUACACUCCAUUACACUCCAUUACAUCCCAUUAGAUCCCAUUACAUCCCAUUACAUCCCAUUUAUAUCCCAUUAUAUCCAAUUAUAUCCCAUUACAUCCCAUUACAUCCCACUAUAUCCCAUUACAUCCCAUUACAUCCCACUUAUAUCCCAUUACAUCCCACUAUAUCCCAUUAUAUCCCAUUAUAUCCCAUUACAUCCCACUUAUAUCCCAUUACAUCCCAUUAUAUCCCAUUAUACCCCAUUACAUCCCAUUACAUCUCAUUGUACCCCAUUACAUCCCAUUACAUCCCACUUAUAUCCCAUUACAUCCCGUUAUAUCCCACUAUAUCCCAUUAUAUCCCAUUGUAUCCCAUUACAUCCCACUAUAUCCCAUUGUAUCCCACUACAUCCCAUUACAUCCCAUUAUAUCCCAUUACAUCCCAUUACAUCCCAUUACAUCCCACUUACAUCCGAUUAUAUCACAUUAAAUCUCAUUAUAUCCCAUUACACUCCAUUACAUCCCAUUACAUCCCCUUAUAUCCCAUUAUAUCCCAUUACAUCCCAUUACAUCCCACUAUAUCCCAUUGUAUCCCAUUGUAUCCCAUUAUAUCCCAUUACAUCCCAUUGUAUCCCAUUACAUCCCACUAUAUCCCACUAAAUCCCAUUACAUCCCAUUGUAUCCCUUUCUCUCCCAUUGCAUCCUGCUAUAUCCCAUUACAUCCCACUACAUCCCAUUACAUCCCAUUACAUCCCCCUAAGUCCCAUUACAUCCCAUUAUAUCCCACUAUAUCCCAUUACAUCCCAUUAUAUCCCACUAAAUCCCCUUAAAUCCCACUAAAUCCCCUUAAAUCCCCUUAAAUCCCAUAGUAUCCCAUAGUAUCCCAUUAAUCCCACCUGUGCCAUGCGCACUUCCCGUCCCAGCUCUCGGAGCAGCUGCCCUGGUCUCAGUGUAUCAGGGAUCUCAGCUGCGUGCUGCUCCAGG
rnacentral:lncRNA from 1 species